CCUACGGGUGGCAGCAGUGAGGAAUAUUGGUCAAUGGGCGGGAGCCUGAACCAGCCAAGUCGCGUGAGGGAAGACGGUCCUACGGAUUGUAAACCUCUUUUGCCGGGGAGCAACGGGGUCCUUGCUAGGGCCCGAUGAGAGUACCCGGAGAAAAAGCAUCGGCUAACUCCGUGCCAGCAGCCGCGGUAAUACGGAGGAUGCGAGCGUUAUCCGGAUUUAUUGGGUUUAAAGGGUGCGUAGGCGGGCUGUUAAGUCAGCGGUCAAAUGUCGGGGCUCAACCCCGGCCUGCAUUUGAAACUGUGUUUCUUGAGUACUGGAGAGGCAGACGGAAUUCCUAGUGUAGCGGUGAAAUGCGUAGAUAUUAGGAGGAACACCAGUGGCGAAGGCGGUCUGCUGGACAGCAACUGACGCUGAGGCGCGAAAGCGUGGGGAGCAAACAGGAUUAGAUACCCUUGUAGUC
rnacentral:rRNA from 1 species